ACGCCGCACUCCCCGGCGAGGGCGUGCGGAGCUUGGCGCUCCGGGGUUAGCCCCUGAGCCUGUGCGACUGCGCGAGAAGACGUUCCGCUUUGAAAUGCAGCGGGAUUUGCUGCGUUUCCCGCUGUCUUCAGCGGUGCGGGUGAAGUUGGUGUCUGCGGGUUUCCAGACUGCUGAGGAACUCCUGGAGGUGAAACCCUCCGAGCUUAGCAAAGAAGUUGGGAUAUCUAAAGAUGAAGCCUUAGAAACUCUGCAAAUUAUAAGAAGAGAAUGUCUCACAAAUAAACCAAGAUAUGCUGGUACAUCUGAGUCAGGCAAGAAGUGUACAGCACUGGAACUUCUUGAGCAGGAGCAUAUCCAGGGCUCCAUAAUUACCUUCUGUUCAGCACUAGAUAAUAUUCUUGGGGGUGGAGUACCCUUAAUGAAAACAACAGAAAUUUGUGGUGCACCAGGCAUUGGAAAAACACAAUUAUGUAUGCAGUUGGCAGUAGAUGUGCAGAUACCGGAAUGUUUUGGAGGAGUGGCAGGUGAAGCAGUUUUUAUUGAUACAGAGGGAAGUUUUAUGGUUGAUAGAAUGGUAGACCUUGCUACUGCCUGCAUUCAGCACCUUCACCUUAUAGCAGAAAAACACAAGGGAGAGGAACAUCGAAAAGCUUUGGAGGGUUUCACUCUUGAAAAUAUUCUUUCCCAUAUUUAUUAUUUUCGCUGUCGUGACUACACAGAGUUACUGGCACAAGUUUAUCUUCUUCCAGAUUUCCUUUCAGAACACUCACAGGUUCGAUUGGUGAUAGUGGAUGGUAUUGCUUUUCCAUUUCGUCAUGACCUAGAUGACCUGUCUCUUCGUACUCGGUUAUUAAAUGGCCUAGCCCAGCAAAUGAUCAGUCUUGCGAAUAAUCACAGAUUAGCUGUAAUUUUAACCAAUCAGAUGACAACAAAGAUUGAUAAAAAUCAGGCCUUGCUCAUUCCUGCUUUAGGGGAAAGUUGGGGACAUGCUGCUACAAUACGGCUAAUCUUUCAUUGGGACCUAAAGCAAAGGUUGGCAACAUUGUACAAGUCACCCAGCCAGAAGGAAUCCACAGUACUGUUUCAAAUCACAGUCAGUAUUAUUUGAUGAGAGUGGGAUUUUUAUAUUGGUGGGCAGUAAUUAUCUAAAGAGAAUUUACAGCUUGCUUUUGUUAACUUCUUUAGGCAGCAAGCAUAUUUGAGGACAGCUUUUGAUGCUUACAUUGUCCCCAAAAUAGUAAUAUACAGAAUAUUGUAGUCACAAAUGGACUGAAAUUUAUUCUUAAGAACAGAGGAAAUACUUAUUUUCGGGUAGCAUGUUCCAUGCCAUAUGUAAUGUCAGGAUAUUAAAAAUCUUUAAAGAGAAAGUUGUUGAAGAUUUCCAGAAAAGAAAAACAACUAAUAUUACUUAUUUUGGUCUUGUAGGUAUUAUAGAGCUAUUGUAGCCACCAAAUAUAGCCCACUUUAAGAUGUUAAUUUUUCUGUGAAUUUACAUCAUAGAACACAUAUUUUUGGAUAAAAUAUGCAUAUUUACCAAUAAUGUUGAGAACCAUGUAUAUUUUUGGCAUCUCAUUUUUCUUUUUUUUUUUUUUUUUGAGAUGGAGCCUCGCUGUAUUUUGCCCAGGUUGGAGUGCAGUGGCGUGAUUUGGCUUACUGCAAACUCUGGCCCACUGGUUCAAGCAAUUCUUCUGCCUCAGCCUCCCUAGUAGCUGGGAUUACAGCCUCAGGGAUUUAGAGAUACUGUUAUUACUUCUGCAUGUUCAUUGCAGACAGAAGAUUCCUUGAAUACCCGGAAACGGUCACGAGAUGCAGAGGAAGAAUUUUAAUCCAGAAGCAAAUCUCCAAGUAUAUAAAUUUACUGAUGUUGUGAAAUCAAUGUGUACAAGUAGACUUGUUACUGUAAGAUGUAAAUAAACUAUGGCAUGAAUGAA